UGUGAUUUGGCAGUGUGGUUAGCUGGUUGUGUGCUAGUGGACACAGCCACUAUCUACACUGUCGCCUUACG
rfam:Strigamia maritima strain Brora ctg7180001229700, whole genome shotgun sequence.